GGCCCCAUGGUUCUCAAAUGAAGACCCAACCCAAAUCAAGAAAAGUAAAGGUGUGGUCAAAAGCUGACGGAAUCAUAUAAUCUCAUUCAUGCUGGGUGCGUGGUUUCAUUCAUCAACUUGAAUUUCCUUUUCUUUUCAACAAACUCAAUCACACCUCCAAACUCUCUCUACUUCUCUUGGAAUAAUAAGGUUCUGUCUCGGGUCCAUGUUACGUUGUAAGUUGUAACAAAUAGCUGAUAUCAGACCCUUUGUUCAGAGAAUGCUUAAAUGUCUUUAGUAAGGAACCUGUGAGCGCAACUAAGAUCCAGUAACGAGUUCAAGCAACUACUUUCUGUGUGAAUGGGGUAGAAUUUUUGAAGAACUAAAGGAACAAACUAAGAUACUAAGAUGGUGUUGCAUGUCCAUAAGUUGUAUCAAAGUUGGGUUAUGUUAAUCAAGUUUCUGAAUGAUGCUUAUUACAAAGCCUGCGGGUAAACUUCAAACUCUAAAUUCUAAUUCAAAAUGAACAUUUUUGCAUUGGAUA